AUUGAACGCUGGCGGCAGGCUUAACACAUGCAAGUCGUACGGUAACAGGUCUUCGGAUGCUGACGAGUGGCGAACGGGUGAGUAAUACAUCGGAACGUGCCUAGUAGUGGGGGAUAACUACUCGAAAGAGUGGCUAAUACCGCAUGAGAUCUACGGAUGAAAGCAGGGGAUCGCAAGACCUUGUGCUACUAGAGCGGCCGAUGGCAGAUUAGGUAGUUGGUGGGAUAAAAGCUUACCAAGCCGACGAUCUGUAGCUGGUCUGAGAGGACGAUCAGCCACGCUGGGAGUGGGACACGCCCAAGACUCCUACGGGAGGGAGAAGGGGGAAAUGUUGGAAAAUGGGCGAAAGCCUGAUCCGGAAAUGCCGCGUGAAGGAUAAAGGCCUGCGGGUUGUAAACUGCUUUUGUACAGAACGAAAAGCCCUGGGUUAAUACCCUGGGGUCAUGACGGUACCGUAAGAAUAAGCACCGGCUAACUACGUGCCAGCAGCCGCGGUAA
rnacentral:rRNA from 1 species